AAGGUUUCCGUAGGUGAACCUGCGGAAGGACCAUUA
rnacentral:rRNA from 1 species